rnacentral:rRNA from 1 species
UCAAAGAUUAAGCCAUGCAUGUCUAAGUCCAAGCUGUGUUCACACGGCGAGACCGCGGACGGCUCAUUAAAUCAGUCGUGGUCCAAAUGGGCCAGUGCAAAUCCUACUUGGAUAACUGUGGUAAUUCCAGAGCUAAUACAUGCAACUGAUAUCCCGAAGGCGGUGUUUGGGCUUGCUUGCCUUGCGCUGCGCUGCUCUGACGGAUGCUUUUAUUAGACCAAGCCGCUGAGGACUUGAGGGUUCGCGCUCUCUUGUCUGACUCGUGUGAUGGUGACUCUGGAUAACCAAAUUCUGACAAGCGCACGUACUUCUCUUCUGAGCGAGACGGCGCUGCCACUUUCGAGUGUCUGCCUUAUCAGCUAUCAACCGUUCGUUAUGCGCGACCGAUGGCUUUGACGGGUAACGGGGAAUCAGGGUUCGAUUCCGGAGAGGCAGCCUGAGAGACGGCUACCACGUCCAAGGACGGCAGCAGGCACGCAAAUUACCCAAUCCCAGCAAAUGGGGGAGGUAGUGACGAAAUCUAACGAUGCGGGCGCCCUUUCUGGGGCCCCGCAAUCGGAAUGGGCACUUUCUAAACAACCUG